AUGUUCGUAGAAAGGAGAGAUGGUUGGUAUCUCCCCUGACAGGGACAGGGACAGGAACAGCCUUCGGGCUUACUUGUUACCAACACAUCUGGUUAAGGCUACCCACCUCUCAGGUGGAUCUCUAACCUAAUUUUCUU